UACGGAAGGCAGCAGUGGGGAAUAUUGCACAAUGGGCGCAAGCCUGAUGCAGCCAUGCCGCGUGUAUGAAAAAGGCCUUCGGGUUGUAAAGUACUUUCAGUCGUGAGGAAGGUGUUAAGGUUAAUAACCUUAGCAAUUGACGUUAGCGACAGAAGAAGCACCGGCUAACUCCGUGCCAGCAGCCGCGGUAAUACGGAGGGUGCGAGCGUUAAUCGGAAUUACUGGGCGUAAAGGGCACGCAGGCGGUUAAUUAAGUUGGAUGUGAAAUCCCCGGGCUUAACCUGGGAAUGGCAUUCAAGACUGGUUAGCUAGAGUCUUGUAGAGGGGGUAGAAUUCCAUGUGUAGCGGUGAAAUGCGUAGAGAUGUGGAGGAAUACCGGUGGCGAAGGCGGCCCCUGGACAAAGACUGACGCUCAUGUGCGAAAGCGUGGGGAGCGAAACAGGGAUUAGAUACCC
rnacentral:rRNA from 1 species